rnacentral:rRNA from 1 species
UACGUAGGGUGCAAGCGUUGUCCGGAAUUAUUGGGCGUAAAGAGCUCGUAGGCGGUCUGUCGCGUCGGAUGUGAAAAUCCAGGGCUCAACCCUGGACCUGCAUUCGAUACGGGCAGACUAGAGUGCGGUAGGGGAGACUGGAAUUCCUGGUGUAGCGGUGAAAUGCGCAGAUAUCAGGAGCAACACCGGUGGCGAAGGCGGGUCUCUGGGCCGAAACUGACGCUGAGGAGCGAAAGCGUGGGGAGCAAACAGG